UUUUGGCCCACAGCAGCACUUACCCCUCUCAAAACUCAGGCUCCUUCGCCAGGACAGAAACAACAUGGUUAUUUAUUACCUAGUGGCUUGUAGUCUCUGGGGAGGCUGCCAUGCACAGGAGUGAGGGAGGUGUAGAAGAACUGCUUAUUCUACAGAAAUCCUGAAAAGAAUCUAAAUCAUCUGGGGCAGAAUCAAUGCUACCUUAUACCAUGACUUGAAAUGAAUGGCUUGACUCAAAGAGUCAAGGAACAAGGAGCUCAUUUUGCCUUCCUUCGUCUUUGGAGGGUGUUCAUUGAGAUCCUGCUGAGAAAGCUGCUUUUCUCUCCUGAAUUUUAUCUUAACCAUCUCUAGAGGAUAUCAGGCUCAGAAUAUUAUUGUAUAAAUAAUACACUGUAAUACACUGGGGCUAACAACUAACUAACUACAACAACUACUAACAACACGGACUAACUCGUUUUCUGGCCAUCCUUUAGUUCAGAGUUAAAUCUAAUGGUAAGACCUUGGAUGGUAAGAAGGCGACCCCAUUAAGCCAAAAGGAAGCUCAAAUUGGGCUAUAUAGUCGAGAGAGAUUAAAAAUGUGGACCCUGGAAUCAAACAGAUCUGGCUUCCGGUCUCCACUGGAUCUGAUGUGUCCUUGCUCAAAUGCUUCACCGUCUCUGCAAGGGGGAGUUCAUAACCUUACGUGUCUGUCUAGGAAGUGGAAGGCGGAACAUGCUGGAUGUUCCACCUGGGCAUAAAGUGCUGGUUGCUGAUGGUUUUUUAAGAAGGGGUUAGUGUGCUUAGAUUGAAAGGGAAGCUCAGUAUCCCAAGAAAGUUUGCUGAGGGAAGACCGAGUUUAGCACAUUUCCUACCCAGUUUACAAAGGAUCUACUGAAGCCAUGAAAACGGAUCAGCUGGGAUCAAAGAUGGGAUGGACGGAUCUUAUCCGCGCUUGGAAAGAGCUGCGGUAACUCUUGAAUAUAAGCGAAGAGGACUUCACACCGAUUUUCUUUCUGCCAGCGUGUGGGAAGACCACGGUGUCAAUUCAAUGCAUUGACUUCAUGGAAUUUUAAGUAUUAUCCCAUCUUCGAAUUAAAAUAAGAGCCAAAGAAUAACAAAACCAAGUUUUCUCUUCGCCUGAAAUGAAUCGUAAAAGUAGAGACUAUUUAUAAGAUGAAAGUUGUAACAAAAGAAUUUUUGGAAUAAAGAAAAAUGUGUGUUUGGCACCUUUUAUCUGCAAUUGCUACAACAAAUAUCUUGUCUUCUUUAAAAGGUGCAGCUUUACCCACAUAUUAUGGAUGGGUUUCCAGACAGUGACUACAAAAUGAGCAGACUCACUUUGUUGGUGGUUUUGUGCCAGA